rnacentral:rRNA from 1 species
UGGGGAAUAUUGCACAAUGGAGGGAACUCUGAUGCAGCGACGCCGCGUGAACGAAGAAGGCUUUCGAGUCGUAAAGUUCUUUUAUAUGGGAAGAUAAUGACGGUACCAUAAGAAAAAGCCCCGGCUAACUACGUGCCAGCAGCCGCGGUAAUACGUAGGGGGCUAGCGUUGUCCGGAAUCACUGGGCGUAAAGGGUUCGCAGGCGGAAAUGCAAGUCAGGUGUAAAAGGCAGUAGCUUAACUACUGUAAGCAUUUGAAACUGCAUAUCUUGAGAAGAGUAGAGGUAAGUGGAAUUUUAGUGUAGCGGUGAAAUGCGUAGAUAUUAAAAAGAAUACCGGUGGCGAAGGCGGCUUACUGGGCUUAUUCUGACGCUGAGGAACGAAAGCGUGGGUAGCAAACAGG